AUGCCCCUAAAUCAAGGCCAACAGUUUGCUGAAGUGGUUCAUUUCAAGCAGAAGCCUAGAAGCCUAAAGAAAUGUCUUUCUAUGGUCUACUGGCCAUUUCAGAACUCUGAAAAUAUAAUGAUCAAUUCAUUAGAAAGAAGCAUCU
rnacentral:snoRNA from 1 species